GCAACACAAACAUUGUGAUUUAAGAAGGGAAAUGAAUGGAGAGAGAGAGAGAGAGAGAGAGAGAGAGGAACCCAGCUGAGAAGAUUGCAUUCUAAAUUUCAAUAGAAAAAGGAAGAAUCUUGUUCCAAAAGUCUUGGGGUAUUAUCCUCACCAAAUGUUGGCUGCUAGUGAAGAACUUGUGUGACUCAACGCCACAAGCACAUCAGCCACAGCAUGAAAUUUGAUUGGUGAAGCCUGGCUAUGGGAGAAAGAGUAGCAGUUCCCAGCCACCUCUUUCUGAUGCUCUGUACCACGCCAAAGUCUUGCUGUUUAACCUGCAGAAGAUUAAUCUACUGAGUUUGAAGAAAGUUCACCCAAUCACUCUGGGAGCAGCAACAGAGCAGCUGGCCACCCACUCA